GGCGAACGCUGGCGGCGUGCUUAACACAUGCAAGUCGAGCGGUAAGGCCCUUUCGGGGGUACACGAGCGGCGAACGGGUGAGUAACACGUGGGUGACCUGCCCUCAGCUCUGGGAUAAGCCUGGGAAACCGGGUCUAAUACUGGAUAUGACUCCAUGACGCAUGUUGUGGGGUGGAAAGCCUUGUGCGGCUGAGGAUGGGCCCGCGGCCUAUCAGCUUGUUGGUGGGGUGAGGCCUACCAAGGCGACGAC
rnacentral:rRNA from 1 species